ensembl:lncRNA
AGAUUUCUGAGUGGAAACCAGGGAUGUGGUUAACCAGAGACCUGAGCUGGUCCUGGUUUCUCACUCCACCCUGACCACCAGGCUGUUCGGGCCUUUCCGGGUUGGCUUUUCUCGUUACUUAAGUACCUUUCCUGUAACCUGGCCCUCCCUUCUCUCAUUGUUGUGGGGGAAUCUGGCUCCCAGAGCCUCUUUCCAAACCCUUUUCCUAGUCGCCAUAGCAACAUGUCUGCUUAUAGACAACAGUUUGGAAAAGAUGUAUCCGUGGCUGUGUGUGUGGUUCACUGGUUACACUGGUCAUUUGAUGGUGUCAUUUGAACUUGUAAGCCAGUCUUGGCCCAGGUCCUUUAACUGCAUCAUUGGAUUUUGGGUUAAUCACUUACCCCUUUUCAGGCAGUGUCAGCUGUCAAUCGCCGGGGUUCUAGCUGGAGGAAGAAGAAGAAUGCGGCAGCCUCUAGUCCUGCCCAGAGGUUACUUGUUUUCAUUUCCAUGAAUUCCCACAGUCUUGGGGAUCUUUGACGGAUAUUCCUAGGAUUCCCAGCUUUGAAGACGGAGCAGUGGUUCCACACAGUAUCCUGCCCAUGCCACCCCCAUCGCUUACAUGGCUGUAUCAAUUUUGCUAGGCCUCUGGGCUGAAGUCCUCAUCUAUAAAGGGAGUGUGUUUACCUUGGUAACUGGCUUUUAGUUGGCAGGUUUCAGGGAAACUGGCUUGACCCAGCUUAAAACCAUCCUAGGUUUCAAAUAACUGAGGGGGUUUGGGGUAUUUAUUGGUUUCCUUACCCCCUGAUUCUUUCCAUCAUCUGUAUCUAGCUUCCUUCUUAAGUUUACUUCUGGUGGUGGCAGGAAGGGCAGCAUCUCAGGUCUCCUGACUCUGCAGGUCCCUAGUGUUAACUUUGAUUAGGGGCAGAUCCUGGGCCCCCGCCCUUGUAUUCCCCCCAUCACAGCUGUGGCCAAUCAUGGAGCACUUGAUUGGUCCCUUGCAGGUUACUGCUUCACACUCUAUCUUCCCAAUCCACUAGGAUUCUGCAGAUGGAAGCACACACCCCUGGGAAGCAGCAGAUGUGGGGAGAUGCCCCUCUCAACACAUGAUGUGAAUAACUUGGGUAGCUGGGCUCACCCUCGUGCCUGCUUCCUUUUGGGUGAGGAGCUCAGGGUUGCUUGUUGUGAACCUGGUGCCUGAGGGGGUUCUGGGGCACACUGAUGCUCAUGGAAAGCUGGCAGAUGGACAUGCCCUAACGGCACCUUCCUCCUCUACCUCCAGGAACCCAAAAGUCUGUUUCUGUGUGCAGACAUUGCAGUGCUCCACCUUGGAGCCAGGAGUUUCGCCCCUGGGUUGCUAAAUCCAGCCUCGCCAUGUUGCUUGUGACUGGCUUCUUCCUCCACACUACUGUCAUAGAGUAGCAGCCCGAUGCUCUGAAUGGCAGCUCUUACCCGGGAUUUCUUCAAAGAAAAGAAGCCAGUUCCCUAAUUUAGAGCAUCCUCCGGCCCAUGCUGUUCAUCCCCGUGUCCCUUGGGGGAAGAUGCAUUCCGUCCUUUUCUGGCAUUCACAGUCCAACACCAGGAGCUGGGGGCAAUGGAUUUGGGCAGACUUGUUGCCAGACUCGUGUGUCUGGCAGCCUGCAGGGAAGUCGAGAGCCCAGGGAAGCCAGACAUGGAGUCAGCGCAGGAGUGGCCGCACAAGUGGCUGUAUUGAGAUGGCUCCUUUUUGUUCACACAUUCACGUGCCAACUUGGAAGGAGAUCUCCCGGGUGCGCCUAGCGAGAGAGAUGACAAAAUCGAGGGUCUUGGAACUUAUGUCACUCAUCUGAAGUCACCAGGGUUGUCAGUGACAAAGCCUGUAGCUGAAAACUGGUAGGUAUGUUUCCUUUGGGCCAUUCUAGAAGUCAGGAAUCAAAAUGGGUUGCAUCAUGAGUCUAUGGCUGUGAUUUGUCCUUUAACCCUGUCUCCCAGUAACCUACUGUCUUCUUAGAACCCUGUCCCCUUCUCCCUCUCAGAGUCCACUGGAAUUAGACCCUCUCCUCUGUAGAGGAGACAGUAUAGCCAGCGUAAUUAGUAGUUAGUACCCAAACUGCAAUUUAUUUUUCUUUCUGGAGUCUGCCGCAUAAGGAACUCUUCUUAAGCAUCCCAGAGGUUCCAGGCAUCCCCCCUCACUUCUACUUCCUCCAUUUGCCACCCUUAUGUCCCUCCCUCAUGACAUUAGGUUUGGAGAACUAUCAGUAAAUGCAUAGCAUUUUCCAUCUCAUGGAGUCUGGACCAGAUGUUGACAGGUCUGUCUUAAAAACUAGUACGUUCCCCCAGCACUGUCCUGUCUCUUUGCUCAAAGCAUGCCUCAGCAUCAUGGAUUUCACUGUGGAAACCCAGGGAGUGAUGCUGAAGCCUGGGCUUGUUGAGUCCAGCUGCUAUCUUGUUUGGCAUUUGUAAUAGUUGGCAUUUAGAGUGAUGAUCCUGGGAGGAGGGAGGGAAUGUCCCAGCAUCCUCAAUGAAGAACGCUUGUGAGGAUGGGUUGUGUGUUCCCAUGCCAUGAUGAGAAAGCAAAUGGAUCAAUUGUGAGUGGUUUCUCUUCUUUAGUUCACCGGGACAGUGGUGUGCUGUUUAUCCUGGAACUCAGAGCUUAACUCGGAGGGCGGAUCCAUUGCUGGGAUCAAUGUUUGGAUGCUGUGCCUGGAACUUGGGAGAGCCAUCCAGCAUCACCUUCUGAUGGGGUGCUGAGAUGCCCUCUCUCAUCUGAGAUGCACCCCCCCCAUCCUGCCGUUGUGCACUGGGACUUUUGUACAGAGUACUCUUUAACGGACAUGACUGGGAGGGUGGGAACAGAAGCCCCUGUGUGACCUUGAGGUUGAGGGAAGAUUGGGGUUGGUGUAUGCAUCAUUGAUUGGAGUAGGUGGACUUGAAUACUUCCUUCCACUUAUUAAAAAUAUUUAGACUGUGGUGUGUGUGUGUGUCUGCGCGUGUGCACACAUGGCUUGCAAGCACAUAUAUGUUUUCAGUGGAGGUCAGAGGACAACUUUCAGGAGUCUGCUCUCCUCCCACCUUGCUUGUGAGACAGGGUGUAUCUUGUUUCAGCCACUGCUGCCUGUGUGAGCCCUCCAUCUCAUUUUCCUGUCUC